CGGCUGUACUGCAUACGCACAGAUGAAAUGACGAGUGCGGCACCUGCUCAUCUUUUCCGAUGCAUUGCAUUUACUGUGCAUGGGCAGGUUACCUCUGUGGCUUGUGGGUGUCUUACACUAAAGCACAUCUGCUGCACUUCAAAGUGUUUUGGGCAGGAAAGCCUGCACAGAAAUGCGGGAGUUCUGGUUUAUAACACAAAAUAUAUCUAAUAAAUACUGUAGGGAAGGUCAUGCAUUCAUAUGGGAGUACAAUUUAAUACUGGUUUUACCCUAAAGAGCCCUAUAAUAUCACUGUUCAUCCUAGAUACCUUCCAUACUAGUUGACAAAGUUCCAGCUAAAUGCAGAACCUUAAUAUUAAAUACCUGAGCAAGGAUACAAAGAAUGUUUAACAGAGGUAAAACACAUGCAUAACAUGGUGUAUACGCCAUAGCAUGACAAAGGAGCUCCAACAGCAAUUCACCAUCCUGUGGCCAACAAGCAACUCAGUCACUCUAACUUAGAGAAACAUUUUUCCCUCUUAGUAGAAAGUGACAUUUCUCAUUUAGCUUUACCUGUGAACUGUUAGCUCUUACUAAAGAUGCCCAUCUGAUCAAAAGACUUCUUGCCAUAUCCUACAUACUGGGAUACUUCUGUCCUCACACAUGUGCUGAUUAUGGCUAUAAAGCCAUGGCAAGCAGUUAGAAAAUGUAUUUGCUGGAACCACAUGUAAAUCAAAUCAAGUAUUUUUACAGUAAUUUUGUUUCUAUUUGUUCUAUUGUUCUGUUUAUAAUUUAAUCUAAUAAUGCUCUUCUACCUGCAGACUGCAGCAGGAUGAAAACACAGAAAGGAGGGGUUUUCUAACUCUACAAACUCCACAAUCACUCUUCACGUGAAAUAAGCUGUCCCAUGAGCACUGAUACCUAGAACACCUACAAAUGCUGGAAUCAUCUCAGGUGCCCUACAGAUACAGAGGCUACUCUCACCCCAGUGUCCAGUACAAUAAAAAAUGCAAAACACUACAAUGCCAGCACUCUGCCAUAUCUAAUUACUGCCCUGAACAACAAAGGUCAGCACAUUACACCUGAUCAGCCUGGGAGGCUAGGACCUCGCAUGUAGGCUGGAAUGAAGAAGGGUUGCAGGCCUACCUGAAAGAUGGGGUAGCAUCUGGUGACCUCAGAGCACUGUGCAGAGAAAACAGACCCAUCAAAUGGGAACACAUAGAUGUGUUGAAUGUCUACAAAAAAAGAUCUGCACUCCAACAAGGCAUAUGGCUUGCUGGAAUCAAGCCAGGAGUGUGGCUUGAUCUCACAACCCCACCAACCACGUCUGAAGGUGGCAAUCAGAGACGUGAGCCUCUCUCCACCUAGCCUGAACUGGGGUCACUUUAGGGGAGAACAGUACGCUCCAACUCAAGCACACUCCAGGCAGAUGAGCCAAUGUGGGUGAUGAUGGAACUCCCAGCACUCCAUGAGCUGCCUGCAGAGGUACCGGGCCAUCAGCCCAAGAGACGCAACACGCAGCAGGACAACCUGUGCCUGAUGCUUGCAAGAGAAACCAUAAGGUCCAUGUGGUACAGAUGCAGCCCCUUUCAUAUAUGUUUUACCUCUCCCUUGUGUAGGAGGCUGCACGCCACCAAAUGGUGAGCUGAGAGAAACCAGUGCACUGAAGGGCCCCUGCUGUGCGUAUCCAACAUGGCAGCUGUGGCGGAAAGGCCGCAGCGUAUCUGGGUGGGAUCGGCCUCACGGGCUCUGUGCUAGCAGCCUGCUCCCAGACCACAGGCUUUUAAGUCAACUAAAGCAACAUGAAAGUGAUUCAAAGUAUUUCACCACAUUCUUACAGGCACCUCUCUCCCCUGACUCACCCAACUUGGCAGCAGAGCUGACAAGAGUCUCCAGCGCUUGGCCGUGGGUGCUGCACUACUGCGGUGCCAAAAUCACAGAAACUCCCUUUUUUCUUCCCGACUUCUGCCGCAAAUAGCAGUGCCGGUAUUUUCCCCUCGCAGCUAUUGAUUUGUGAGCCUCACAGCUGAGAGGCAGAGGCCAAGCUAUCCGCCUUUUCUGAAAGACAGUAACCUGGGAUCCUUCUCUGCUCCGCAGAGCCCACCCUGCCCUGCAGGAGAGGUUUUAGGAAUAGGCUCCCACAGCUCAGGUGAAUACAGCUCGCCUGUCUUUCCAUUUGUUUAACGACUGUACAGAAAAAAAGUAGGAAACGAUGACAAGUUUUGGAAUGCUACCCGUCCCCUCGAGCUGCUGGCGAGAAACCAGCUCACAAGGAACCACAUUCCCAGAAGUAACUUUUAAGAUAAAAGCGGCAUUGUAUAAAUACUUCCUCCUUGGAAAGACAGAGCACUAAUACUCUUCAGCCUGUGCUGCCUCUCCCCUAAUGCUCUCCUCAGCAGAGAGCCGACACUGCAGCAAGCCUGUGCUGAUGUGUCCCUGCCUGCGGUGGGAUGGCUCAGUGCCCCGGUGUCUUCUCUGUCAUGGCCCAGCAGCAGGGGACAGAGCUGGGACAGGAGGAGGUGGCAGCCUCAGUGGGGAGAAAGUAGGAUCACGGAGAAGAAACAGAGACUGAGAGGGUAAGGAUGCAGAUGUAUGCGUGGGGAGACACGGACCAGGAGCUGGAUGUCAGAGGGCGGAUGCAAAGCGGAGUUGUGGCAAGCAAUUCUCCAUUCGUCGCCUCCACGCUGCCUGAGCCUGGCUGUUCCCGGGGAAAGCAGUGCGAGGCUGUGGUCGGGGCUGCUGCAGCCACAGGGAAGGACGUGCCUCCCGAUAAGGAGAUAAAAAUGAAUCCUGAUUACGGGAUUCCCUCUGCAUCCUCCAAUGAGCUAAACGAAGAGGGCUGCGCAAGGGCAAAGGGAGCAACCUCUGAGAUGUGUCCCAGCCUUUGCUGAGCGAACAUCCUUACGAUCUGUUCACUGUGCACAGCAUAGGGAGGCGGCAGGCUGAUGGGGGAGAGAUCGUCUUCAGGCCCCUCUACCACUGAAGGGGGCCCCUCGGGAGGCAUCUUACCGGCGGGCAGGGGUGAGGUGGAGACCGUGUUGAGCAGCACCACGCAGACAGCCACAACAUCCCAUAACUUCAUCUUAGAUCUCCUUCCAACACGGGCCCCUGACAGGAAGGAGAAGAUUCUCCUGUCUCCAUCAUCUCCCAGAGCUGCCAUCACACCAAGAGGGAGAGGGGGUGCGGGAUGGCCACCGGCUUCUCUUUGCCCAAGGGAUGGGAACGUGUGAGUAUGUCCCUGUGCUGGCAGCCAAGUCACUUUGUGCUCAUUCUCCCUCAACACCUGGGCAGUGCCAGGGCACCUGUCCCCUGGCUGGAUCGGGCUGGUCUGGGCUUCAAGGCUGUGCAGCUUUGCUGUGGGGUGGGGAAUCCACCUUUCCCCUUCCCUUCUCUUGUUUCUUUACCUUUCCUUUCAUUUUCCCCUUC